CCCCACAAGGCCACCGGCGAAAGUUGCAAUGAGUCGCGCGAUCCCAAACCUCUAUGCCGAAAUAUAAAAGUGGAUUGGAAUCCAGGUUUGGGGUCCGGCCGUCCGGCGCACAAACCACACUGCUCCGAGCCCGACUAGCCCAACCAUUUACUAGUAGUAUACAAAGGAAAAAUAAACUCAGAAUAUUUCUCCUCUCUCUCUCUCCCAGGAGUCGGAGGACAGAAACCAGGAGGCGACGGAGGGGACGCAACGCGACUCCACACUCUUCCGCACGAAUCACCGCUCUCCUCUAGCUGGAGCAAUAAGGGUCACCCGGAUGACCGGGGCAGACCUGGCACCAGUAAUGGAGUUGAAGGCUGUGGCAAAUGGAGGAACACCCACUGAAGUUGUUGCUUCUGAUAAGAAGGAUAAUACCAAGAUGGAAGAGGCUGGCGAGAGCAAGGAUGUUGCAGUAGCGAAUACCAAUGCUGACCAACAGAAUAAAGCCUCAGAAAACGGCGCUAAGGGCUCAUCUGAUGAUGAUGCCAAGAUGGAGGAGGCUGAAGAUGCAAAGGAAGAUGAUGUGGGUGCUGUGAAGCAGGCAGGUACAGAGGAUGUCAAAUCAGGUGACAGUGCGGAUGCCAAGGAAGGUAAUGGCGCCAAUGCAGCAGAACAUGAGGAUUCCAAAACGGCUGCUAUUGAGGAUGUAGUUGCAAAGGAAGAUGACAACACCAAGUCAGCAGAACACAAGGACUCCAAAAUGGUUAUUGUAGAGGAUGCAGAUGCAAAGGAAGAUGACAAAGCCGCCAAGGCAGCAGAACACGAGGAUUCCAAAACGGCUGGUAUCGAGGAUGUAGUUGCAAUGGAAGAUGACAACACCAAGUCAGCAGAAUACAAGGACUCCAAAAUGGUUAUUGUAGAGGAUGCAAAUGCAAACGAAGAUGACAAAGCCAAGGCAGUAGAACACGAGGAUUCCAAAGCGGCUGGUAUUGAAUAUACAGUUGCAAAGGAAGAUGCCAACACCAAGUCAGCAGAACACAAGGACUCUAAAAUGGUUAUUGUAGAGGAUGCAGAUGCAAAGGAAGACGACAAAGCCAAGGCAGCAGAACACGAUGAUCACAGAACAGGUGGUGUGGCAGCAGAACGCAAGGAUCACAGAACAGGUGGUGUGGAGGAUGCAGAUGCAAAUGAAGACAUUAGCGCCAAGGCUGAAGAGUGCAAGGUUGGCAACAUGAAUACUGUAGAUAAUGCAGAUGUAAAGGAAGAUGAAGAUGCCAAUGAAGACAUUGGCGCCAAGGCUGAAGAGUGCAAGGUUGGCAACAUGAAUACUGUAGAUAAUGCAGAUGUAAAGGAAGAUGAAGAUGCCAAUGCAGCAGAACAUGAAGAUGCCAAAAUGGUUGAUGUGGAUGAUGCAGAUGCAAAGGAAGAUUAUGGCACCAAGGUAGCAGAACAUGAGGAUGUCAAAAUGGGUGCCGUGGAGGAUAUUGAUGCAAAGGAAGAUAACAACACCAAGGCAGCAGAACAUCAUGAUAUCAUAAUGGGUGUGGUAGAGCAUGCAGAUGUAAAAGAAGAUAACAGUUCUAAUGUAGCAGAAUGCGUGGAUGUCAAGAUGGCGGAGGCUGAGACCAAGCCAGGAGAUGCAGAGCUCGAAGACAAAGGGCACAAGGAAGAAAUGGAUGUGAACACAGAGGUCAAGAAGGGACCGAAAGAUGCAGAUCAAUGUGGUUCUGAGAUGCAUGAUGAAUUGAAUGGGCAAGGAAAGAAUGGAGCGGCUCGGCAGCAAGAAAAUAAAGCUGAAGAAAUGAGUGAUGAUGAUAGUCAAGGGGAAGUGGAAGUGGAAGAAAAGGGCUCUUCAGAUAAGAAAGAGGAAGGAGGGGAUGGUAAGGCAAACGAGAAUGAAGAAAAGCUAGAAAAAGAAAGUGCGAACAAGGAAGGAAAAGAUGGCAAGGUAACAGAAGAGGAGGUAGGCGAGGCAGAUAAGAACGUGGAAGAGAAUCAGGAGGAAACACCUAAGAACAAGAGGGCAAGGAGUUCUAGGGAUAGACGCCAAAGACAGGACAAGAAACAGCAUGGGUCCAAAUCCAGGGAAGCCAAAAGUUUACUAAACACUCCCAGCCCUUAUGGUAUUGAUCGCCCUCAACGUGAGAGGAAAAUAGUAGAGAGGUUGGUUGAAGUGAUUGAUAAGGAGCCAAACAGGAGCUUCGUAGUUGAGAAGGGUCGUGGCACUCCUUUAAAGGAUAUACCAAGUGUGGCACAGAGGUUAACGAGGAAGAAACCUGCUGAUCUUAAAUUUCUUCACAAUGUUCUUUUUGGGAGGAAAGGCAAGACUGUCGAUUUUAAAGGCCAUAUACUUCAGUUCUCUGGAUUUGUGUGGCAUGAGAGCGAUGAAAAGCAGAGAGCCAAGGCAAAGGAGAAGCUUGACAAGUGUAUGAAAGACAUGCUGGUGGAUCUCUGUUGGCUUCUUGCUAUUCCGGUUCCCAAAACAAACAUCAGAAAGGAAGAUAUCGUGGCAAAGCUGUUGGACUUCAUUGCUGAACCUCAUGCUAUGCCUGAUUCUGGCCUCUCUGAUGACCAGGGGUCAAAUUCUAGGAAACGCAAGAGAGGAGGUGGUAGUUCAAGCAAGACUUCGGAUAUCACUCCCAAGAGGUCUAAGAAGAAAUUUGCUGACGACAUAUCUCCAAGGCGAAAGCAAGCUCUGGAGUAUGAUACGGAUGAAGAUGUGAAGUCUGAUAGCGAGGAAGAUGCAGAUGAAUCUCAUGAUGAGCAGGAAGAUGGCUAUGACUCUGCCGAAGAAAAGGCAAGUAGGAAGUCCUCGGAAGUAAAAUAUUCUGCAGGUAGAAAGAAGGCUGCUGCUGGGAGCACCCAUAGGACAAGUCCGCCAAGGACAGCAAGCAAGACUGCAGGCAAAACAUCACCAUCCAAAGGUUCCAAGGAAAAGGAGAGCCCUGAUGAGAGUGCAAAGGUCUUCUCUAGGAAGAAGAAACCCAUCAUAUCAAAGCAUACUCCAAGCUCUGAAAAGGUGAUAGAAGAAAAUAAGUCAUCAGGUAAAGAGGCAAUGAAGAGCAAAGGCGAAUCAGCAGAAGGGGGUCUGCCCAGUAAGGCUGAGUUGAAGAAGACCAUUAUCGGAAUCCUUAAAAAAGUUGACUUCAACACGUCUACUUUUAGCGACAUUCUUAAGAAGCUCGAUGACCAUUACAAGAUUGAUCUGACCGCAAGAAAAGGAGCUAUCAAAAUUAUGAUUCAAGAAGAGCUGACAAAGUUAUCAGAGCAGGAAGACGAUGAUCAAGACAAAAAUGCAGAUGCCAAGAAGAAACAGUCACGGCAUCGAGCAAAGGUCACCGGCUGAUGCAUUGUGAAGCACCAUAGCAUUAGCGCCGAGUGUUGAUUAUUUUGUACUUAAUGCCUACUUCACUUUUGCCUUGGUGGGUUCUUGGGCAGUCGUAUGUUAAUUAUGGUUCCUAUGUUUUCAAACACCAAAAUCCUAGCCCUGUUUGUGUAUGUGAAAACAUAACCUGUAGGCAGCUCCGUACCGGGAGGCACUUCUAGCUAACAUUUGUAGGCAGCUCCGUACCGGUCAUAGGUUUGAAUAGAAUAUGGACAUAUUCGGAUUUCUGUGCUGCGGCAUUGGAUUACAAUGAUGGGAGCUCCAGCGGUUUGAGCAUCGCUGGGGCAGUCACGUAGGUUGCGAGGGGGGAUAUCAGAUUGAAUUCUGGACAAUGAAGCAGAUGGAAACGUGCUGCAUUACGUGAAGAAGAAAAAGUCAGAAAGAAAAUGCAUUUCUCUGAUGUGGGCCGACACAAAUGGGGGUUUAUGUUCCGACGAUUGGGAGUAAAGACUUGCAGUCCCGUGAGUAAUGUGUAUGGCACCUAUGAUUGGCCGUUCAAGAUGCUGAUGCUACUAAUGGCCUGGCCAUCUGUCAAGGUUUCAGGCAUGGACGUGAUGAAGGGAGAUCGUAUUUUGGAAAGGUGUAACCGGCGUAGAGUAAUUGAGUAAGAGCAUGGUUAAUAGUAUAGCCAGCUGCUGGCUAUAAGCCAGUGCCAUGUCAUCUACAACCCAUCUUAUAGCCAACAUGUAUAAUAGUACAUUAAAAGAGUGUACUACUUUUUUAUUAUGUGGCCCACCUUUCAUUCUCACAAAGUGCCUAGGAGCAUGUGCUAGAGCUGGCUCUUCACGAAGAGCCCGCUUACCUUCUCUCUCCUCUUUUCGUUCCUCCAACUAAGCAG
rnacentral:rRNA from 1 species